UAUUUUCGUAAUUAACCUCACUCAGUUCUAUUGUUUACACUGCAGACUUGGUGUUGGAGCUGUAGAGGGCAGAAGAUGCAUUCUGAAGUGUGGUUAUGAUAUAUUAGCAUUAAACAACAGAUAUAGGAACAGAAGCUGAGCUGGAUCUGAAGCUGCAGCUGUGAGAUGGGCGUGAGUGCUGCUGAUAUGGUGGUGGCACUGAUGCCUUAGACUGUAGCAGCAUAAGCUGUGACUUUAGAACGCAAGAGAGAGGUUGUGCAAGAGAUGGAAAU